rnacentral:rRNA from 1 species
AUGAACGCUAGCUACAGGCUUAACACAUGCAAGUCGAGGGGCAGCAUGGUCUUAGCUUGCUAAGGCCGAUGGCGACCGGCGCACGGGUGAGUAACACGUAUCCAACCUGCCGUCUACUCUUGGACAGCCUUCUGAAAGGAAGAUUAAUACAAGAUGGCAUCAUGAGUCCGCAUGUUCACAUGAUUAAAGGUAUUCCGGUAGACGAUGGGGAUGCGUUCCAUUAGAUAGUAGGCGGGGUAACGGCCCACCUAGUCUUCGAUGGGUAGGGGUUCUGAGAGGAAGGUCCCCCACAUUGGAACUGAGACACGGUCCAAACUCCUACGGGAGGCAGCAGUGAGGAAUAUUGGUCAAUGGGCGAGAGCCUGAACCAGCCAAGUAGCGUGAAGGAUGACUGCCCUAUGGGUUGUAAACUUCUUUUAUAAAGGAAUAAAGUCGGGUAUGGAUACCCGUUUGCAUGUACUUUAUGAAUAAGGAUCGGCUAACUCCGUGCCAGCAGCCGCGGUAAUACGGAGGAUCCGAGCGUUAUCCGGAUUUAUUGGGUUUAAAGGGAGCGUAGAUGGAUGUUUAAGUCAGUUGUGAAAGUUUGCGGCUCAACCGUAAAAUUGCAGUUGAUACUGGAUAUCUUGAGUGCAGUUGAGGCAGGCGGAAUUCGUGGUGUAGCGGUGAAAUGCUUAGAUAUCACGAAGAACUCCGAUUGCGAAGGCAGCCUGCUAAGCUGCAACUGACAUUGAGGCUCGAAAGUGUGGGUAUCAAACAGGAUUAGAUACCCUGGUAGUCCACACGGUAAACGAUGAAUACUCGCUGUUUGCGAUAUACAGCAAGCGGCCAAGCGAAAGCGUUAAGUAUUCCACCUGGGGAGUACGCCGGCAACGGUGAAACUCAAAGGAAUUGACGGGGGCCCGCACAAGCGGAGGAACAUGUGGUUUAAUUCGAUGAUACGCGAGGAACCUUACCCGGGCUUAAAUUGCAGAUGAAUUACGGUGAAAGCCGUAAGCCGCAAGGCAUCUGUGAAGGUGCUGCAUGGUUGUCGUCAGCUCGUGCCGUGAGGUGUCGGCUUAAGUGCCAUAACGAGCGCAACCCUUGUUGUCAGUUACUAACAGGUUCCGCUGUGGACUCUGACAAGACUGCCAUCGUAAGAUGUGAGGAAGGUGGGGAUGACGUCAAAUCAGCACGGCCCUUACGUCCGGGGCUACACACGUGUUACAAUGGGGGGUACAGAGGGCCGCUACCACGCGAGUGGAUGCCAAUCCCCAAAACCUCUCUCAGUUCGGACUGGAGUCUGCAACCCGACUCCACGAAGCUGGAUUCGCUAGUAAUCGCGCAUCAGCCACGGCGCGGUGAAUACGUUCCCGGGCCUUGUACACACCGCCCGUCAAGCCAUGGGAGCCGGGGGUACCUGAAGUGCGUAACCGCGAGGAGCGCCCUAGGGUAAAACUGGUGACUGGGGCU